rnacentral:rRNA from 1 species
CCAGACUCCUACGGGAGGCAGCAGUGAGGAAUAUUGGUCAAUGGGCGAGAGCCUGAACCAGCCAAGUCGCGUGAGGGAAGACGGUCCUAUGGAUUGUAAACCUCUUUUGCCGGGGAGCAAAAAGCGGUACGUGUACCGCAUCGAGAGUACCCGGAGAAAAAGCAUCGGCUAACUCCGUGCCAGCAGCCGCGGUAAUACGGAGGAUGCGAGCGUUAUCCGGAUUUAUUGGGUUUAAAGGGUGCGUAGGCGGGCUUUUAAGUCAGCGGUAAAAAUUCGGGGCUCAACCCCGUCGUGCCGUUGAAACUGAUGUUCUUGAGUGGGCGAGAAGUAUGCGGAAUGCGUGGUGUAGCGGUGAAAUGCAUAGAUAUCACGCAGAACUCCGAUUGCGAAGGCAGCGCACCGGCGCCCUACUGACGCUCAGGCACGAAAGCGUGGGUAUCGAACAGGAUUAGAUACCCGAGUACG